CUGCAGCUAAUUAAGUGGACUAGGUUCCUUACUUGUGGUGGCCCAGUGUGCAAUGACUGCAGAUAGCAAAUUCCUCAGUAGUAUAUGCAUGCAGCCUGUCGCUUGUAUGGGUUGCCCUUGAGGGACCUUGGAGACAGCA